GUGUUCGCUUCGGCAGCACAUAUACUAAAAUUGGAACGAUACAGAGAAGAUUAGCAUGGCCCCUGCGCAAGAAACUGAAAUAUGAAAGUGUUCUCUGAUGCAUUU